GGCGGGGCGGGACGGCGAGGGGCUGCGAGGGGCGCGCCCCCACGGUGCCUGCUCGCGCUCCUGAGACCUUGCAGCGGGCCAGCAGGUGCUGGCCGCCCUACCCGAGUCUAGCGUGCGUCCUGACCCUCCUCCCCGCCAGCACUUGAGGGUGCCCGCUUCUGCCGGGAGAGCCCACGCGGCUUUCACAUCUGGCGGCUGUUUGCAGAGAGUCCCCGGCCCUGCUCCGAGAGUGCAGAUUCAAAGAGGUUGAAGCUUUCAUCCCAGCAAACUUGUUAAGCCUCAGAGUUUGAAAUGAGAUGGGUGUGACUACAGGAGCUUCACAUUCCCACUGGCUGUCCCCAGCUCUCCCAGCGUCCCCAGCCCUGCUCCCCAUCCUGUCUGUUCUCUCUGGGGAAGGAGGGUUUUACAAGGAGACCUGAGAGUAGCCAGCGGUUCUGGACAAAAGACCUUCUUCGCCCUUCGAGGGAGGUGACGGUGUCUGUUGCCACUCUGCAACACUCUCGAUCACUCUUCCCAAGAUCGAGUGAGCAGACAACGAACAUGAGCACCCCUCUGAUGGGGGUGUUUAGCCCAUGGUUGGCUGCCUUUCCCCAUCUCGUCACCUCCCCCCCUCCACCUGUGCUGCAGGUCGGCUGGUCCUGAGAGCAGCAACGUAGGAGGCUGUGGCAGGGGUGUGACUGCAAGAAACUAUGCUCCCGAACUCGCAUAACCUUCACCUCCCCUGGGCUUCUACUCUGCUUGGACUGGCUGGUAACACUGCCUGAACAGACAGAAUGGACACUGUGUGUGGGACCCGGCUUGAACCGGGUCACCUGGUUACCCUGAGCCCACACCACCUGAACGGCCCAGGUUGCCCUGGGUGCCUCUCUAAAUGCAGUGUGAUUGCAGAUGUAGAAGCUUCUUUAUCUUGAUGAGUUUUUCUUUGUCUCGAAAAGUCAGGGUUAGACAAAAUGGACUCUACAUGCUAAAGGACUUUAAAAUGGUCACACACACUGUUUAUGUUAAGAAUUAGGUAAUACAUAUGGGAGGUCUCUGUGAAGUUGUAUGAGAAGAGAGAGGCAGAGAGAUGAAGCGGUCUGGGAGGUUUGGGGUCUUUGUGUGGUUUACGACCUGUGAAGCUGUGCACACCGGGCUCUUCCUGUUUCCAGCAUCUGUAUUGACCCAGCCCAGCUGGCUUUGAAGGUUUGGGAUAGACAGGAGUGGACUCGGUCUGGGGAAGGGCCUCAGCGAGAGAUCAAAGGUCUGGUCUGAGCGGUACCCCUGGCCUCAGUCUCCAGGUGCCAGGGCCACAGGGAGAACCCUCCAUUUCCCAGGAGAAGCACCUCCCAUCAAGCUGCCUCCCGACCCUGCCCCUCCACUCUGGGCAGCGUGUCCCUUUAACACCGAACACUGCCUGCACCCACCUUCCUUGACGAAGAAAGCAGAGCUGGAGAUGUUUACAAACCACUGGGAAAGAAAGACCUGUUGUCAUCCAUGUCUGUUCAUGUCUGGAACGGUAUAUGUGGAGCUGGGAUUAAACCUAUAUAUUCACGUGUUCAGAUAAUGGAAGGCAGGCAUCCUUCUUCAUCAGUUACACUUUGCCUCCUUCCACGUGCAGGGGGCAGGCACAACAGAGCAGGAACAUGAGGGCGACUCUAUCCCUCUGGCCCUGGGACACAGGCGGGAAGACGGCUUUUCCUGGGAACCGUUCUGCCCAGCUCCCCCCACCCCCCCCCCCCCCCCCCCCCAGAGCUCGAGGUUUCCAGAGCUGAGACCAGGACGGGUGCAGGUGAUUCAGCCUGAACCGCCCAAACCAUGCACUGCUCCCGGGACUAACUCUGCUGAA